rnacentral:tRNA from 1 species
GGGCCGGUAGUAUUAACAGUUAAAAUAGUUAGCUGAUACCUAAAAGAUACGGGUGCAAGUCCCGUCCGGUCCA